rnacentral:rRNA from 1 species
GGGAUAACACUUGGAAACAGGUGCUAAUACCGCAUAACCAUAGUUACCGCAUGGUAACUAUGUAAAAGGUGGCUAUGCUACCGCUUUUGGAUGGGCCCGCGGCGCAUUAGCUAGUUGGUGGGGUAAAGGCUUACCAAGGCAAUGAUGCGUAGCCGAACUGAGAGGUUGAUCGGCCACAUUGGGACUGAGACACGGCCCAAACUCCUACGGGAGGCAGCAGUAGGGAAUCUUCCACAAUGGGCGAAAGCCUGAUGGAGCAACGCCGCGUGGGUGAAGAAGGUCUUCGGAUCGUAAAACCCUGUUGUUAGAGAAGAAAGUGCGUGAGAGUAACUGUUCACGUUUCGACGGUAUCUAACCAGAAAGCCACGGCUAACUACGUGCCAGCAGCCGCGGUAAUACGUAGGUGGCAAGCGUUAUCCGGAUUUAUUGGGCGUAAAGGGAACGCAGGCGGUCUUUUAAGUCUGAUGUGAAAGCCUUCGGCUUAACCGGAGUAGUGCAUUGGAAACUGGGAGACUUGAGUGCAGAAGAGGAGAGUGGAACUCCAUGUGUAGCGGUGAAAUGCGUAGAUAUAUGGAAGAACACCUGUGGCGAGAGCGGCUCUCUGGUCUGUAACUGACGCUGAGGUUCGAAAGCGUGGGUAGCAAACAGGAUUAGAUACCCUGGUAGUCCACGCCGUAAAC